CCUACGAGCGGCAGCAGUGGGGAAUAUUGCGCAAUGGGGGCAACCCUGACGCAGCCAUGCCGCGUGAAUGAAGAAGGCCUUCGGGUUGUAAAGUUCUUUCGGUGACGAGGAAGGCGUGAUGUUUAAUAGGCAUCACGAUUGACGUUAAUCACAGAAGAAGCACCGGCUAACUCCGUGCCAGCAGCCGCGGUAAUACGGAGGGUGCGAGCGUUAAUCGGAAUAACCGGGCGUAAAGGGCACGCAGGCGGCUAUUUAAGUGAGGUGUGAAAUCCCCGGGCUUAACCUGGGAAUUGCAUUUCAGACUGGGUGGCUAGAGUACUUUAGGGAGGGGUAGAAUUCCACGUGUAGCGGUGAAAUGCGUAGAGAUGUGGAGGAAUACCGAAGGCGAAGGCAGCCCCUUGGGAAUGUACUGACGCUCAUGUGCGAAAGCGUGGGGAGCAAACAGGAUUAGAUACCCGGGUAGUC
rnacentral:rRNA from 1 species